rnacentral:rRNA from 1 species
AGAUGCAAUGAUAUCAGCACUAAUGUACCAGAUUCCAUCAGAAUUCUGAAAUUAAGCACGCUUGGGCGAGAAUAGUACUAAGAUGGGCUUUGUCACAGGACCUUCAAAGACACAGGCAAGACAUGAC